rnacentral:rRNA from 1 species
UGCGUAGGUGGCGUGGAAAGUCAGAUGUGAAAUUCGGGGGGCUCAACCCGCGAACUGCAUCCGAUACUCCCAUGCUAGAGAACUGGAGGGGAGUCUGGAAUUCUCGGUGUAGCAGUGAAAUGCGUAGAUAUCGAGAGGAACACUAGUGGCGAAGGCGAGACUCUGGACAGUAUCUGACACUGAGGCACGAAGGCUAGGGUAGCGAACG